UACGUAGGGUGCAAGCGUUGUCCGGAAUUAUUGGGCGUAAAGAGCUCGUAGGCGGUCUGUCGCGUCUGCUGUGAAAACUCAGGGCUUAACCCUGAGCUUGCAGUGGGUACGGGCAGACUUGAGUACUGCAGGGGAGACUGGAAUUCCUGGUGUAGCGGUGGAAUGCGCAGAUAUCAGGAGGAACACCGGUGGCGAAGGCGGGUCUCUGGGCCGAUACUGACGCUGGAGGAGCGAAAGCGUGGGGAGCGAACAGG
rnacentral:rRNA from 1 species